GACGAACGCUGGCGGCGUGCUUAACACAUGCAAGUCGAACGGUGAAGCGCCUUCCUUUUUGGUGGGUGUGGAUGAGUGGCGAACGGGUGAGUAACACGUGAGUAACCUGCCCCCUUCUUCUGGAUAACCGCAUGAAAGUGUGGCUAAUACGGGAUAUUCUGGGUCUGUCGCAUGAUGGGUCUGGGAAAGAUAUUGUUUCGGUGGGGGAUGGGCUCGCGGCCUAUCAGCUUGUUGGUGGGGUGAUGGCCUACCAAGGCGGUGACGGGUAGCCGGCCUGAGAGGGUGGACGGCAACACGGGGACUGAGACACGGCCCAGACUCCUACGGGAGGCAGCAGUGGGGAAUAUUGCACAAUGGGCGCAAGCCUGAUGCAGCGACGCCGCGUGAGGGAUGGAGGCCUUCGGGUUGUGAACCUCUUUCGCCAGUGAAGCAGGCCUGCCUCGUUUGUGGGUGGGUUGACGGUAGCUGGAUAAGAAGCGCCGGCUAACUACGUG
rnacentral:rRNA from 1 species